GAGGUGAUCUAGAAGAUACAACCACCUUCAGUCAAAGUGCCUGAGGGAAUGAUAGGAGAAGCUGGGCUCUCUGAUAAGAUCACAGAUCCAGUGAACAGGGGAGGAUUGAAAGCCUUCAGAUUCCUUUCAUGUGAAAAGACAGACUUUUAUAUGUGUGAGCCUCUGUUAGCUUGAGUCUUCUGUUUUAUGCAGCCAAACUUAACCCUAACUGCCACACACCGUCUACUUACAUUUUAUGAUGCUCUCUCUAAUCUCUUAGGUAAUUGUAUCCUCCCAGAAACCUAUGGAGAGCUGAAGGGAUUUUAGGAACAUGGAAUCCACUCUCCUCCUUUGAUAAAAGAGGACAAAGGCCAGAGAGCUGUGCGAUGGCUGAGGCAGGCGAUUGUAAACCAAAAGGUGCCUGAGACUGAUAUCAAUCCAUUUAAAAGCUCAAUUUCCAUUUGGAGUGGCUUCUGGAAGGCUGGAAUUGAAAUCCACCAGUGCCCAUUUCAAGGUGUUCCCAACUUUGCCUGGAAAAAAAGGAGCCCGGAUACGCUUCCCUGUGGAUGCAGAAGAGCUUCAGCAUGAGGGGGGCAAUCCCUGCUGCCUUGUGGCUGCAAAAGGAGAGAGAAGGAGCCUCUCCAAAAAAGGGUUUCAUGAAAGCGCUGAGGCGAGAUACUUACUUCAGAGGGUUCAGGACAAGGACACUCACUUUGUUCUGUGUGGUGUGGAGACGCGGGUGAGCGUUCCUCAGUGGCACCAACUGGUUCCCUCUUGUCCUCAGCUUCCAGUGCCCUGGGACAUGUCAUUUGGACAAAACACUUUUCCAUGUCCUGCCAUCCAUUCCACAGGGGCAGGAGAAAAGGGUCUGGAGGCAGGAACAUAAGGCCGAUUCACCCUGACUUCGGAGAACUGAAUCAAAUGGAAAUUCUUGGGCUAUGA
rnacentral:lncRNA from 1 species